rnacentral:rRNA from 1 species
CAGUAGCCGCGGUAAUACAGAGGGUGCGAGCGUUAAUCGGAUUUACUGGGCGUAAAGCGUGCGUAGGCGGCUUCUUAAGUCGGAUGUGAAAUCCCUGAGCUUAACUUAGGAAUUGCAUUCGAUACUAGGAAGCUAAAGUAUGGGAGAGGAUGGUAGAAUUCCAGGUGUAGCGGUGAAAUGCGUAGAGAUCUGGAGGAAUACCGAUGGCGAAGGCAGCCAUCUGGCCUAAUACUGACGCUGAGGUACGAAAGCAUGGGGAGCAAACAGGAUUAGAUACCCCGGUAGUCCCUGUCUCUUAUAC